GACAGAGGGUGCAAACGUUGUUCGGAAUUACUGGGCGUAAAGCGUGUGUAGGCGGCCGCGCAAGUCGGAUGUGAAAGCCCUGGGCUCAACCCAGGAUGUGCACCCGAUACUGCAUGGCUCGAGUACUGGAGAGGUUGGUGGAAUUCUCGGUGUAGAGGUGAAAUUCGUAGAUAUCGAGAGGAACACCGGUGGCGAAGGCGGCCAACUGGACAGAUACUGACGCUGAGACACGAAAGCGUGGGGAGCAAACAGG
rnacentral:rRNA from 1 species